UGUCCUUAGAAACCAAGUGUGGGUGUGGCCUGGAAUGACAAUAUGGCGACCCAUCCUUGGUUUCUGAGGCCG
rfam:Salmo salar isolate Sally breed double haploid chromosome ssa09, whole genome shotgun sequence.